GUAACACGUAUGCAACCUACCUUUAACAGGGGAAUAACCCGUUGAAAAACGACUAAUACUCCAUAACACAGGGGUCCCGCAUGGGAAUACUUGUUAAAGAUUAAUCGGUUGAAGAUGGGCAUGCGUUCCAUUAGCUUGUUGGUGAGGUACGGCUCACCAAGGCCACGAUGGAUAGGGAACUGAGAGGUUUAUCCCCCACACUGGAACUGAGACACGGUCCAGACUCCUACGGGAGGCAGCAGUGAGGAAUAUUGGUCAAUGGAGGCAACUCUGAACCAGCCAAGUCGCGUAGAAGGAUGAAGGUCUUAUGGAUUGUAAACUUCUUUUGCAAGGGAAUAAAGUGGGGGACGUGUCCUCCUUUGCAUGUACCUUGCGAAUAAGGAUCGGCUAACUCCGUGCCAGCCGCGGC
rnacentral:rRNA from 1 species